UACGGGGGGAGCAAGCGUUGUUCGGAUUUACUGGGCGUAAAGGGCGCGUAGGCGGCGUGACAAGUCACUUGUGAAAUCUCCGGGCUUAACUCGGAACGGUCAAGUGAUACUGUCGUGCUAGAGUACAGAAGGGGCAACUGGAAUUCUCGGUGUAGCGGUGAAAUGCGUAGAUAUCUGGAGGAACACCGGUGGCGAAGGCGGCGUUCUGGACUGUUUCUGACACUGAAAAACGAAAGCCAGGGGAGCAAACGGG
rnacentral:rRNA from 1 species